GGGCUCCUAAACUGGAUUUUGGAGGAACUGAAUUCAGAAUGAUCAAAGUACAACCAAAUGUACUUGAGACGUCCACAGCCAGUUCAGACAUGGGGCUGGAAUGAUGUGUCAAAGCCCACAGAAUGUAGAACACCCAGAGUGAACCCUAAUGUGAACAUGGACUUCGGAUGAUGAUGUCGGUUCAUCGAAACACCCAGAGUGAACCCUAAUGUGAACAUGGACUUCGGAUGAUGAUGUCGGUUCAUUGAAAACACCCAGAGUGAACCCUAAUGUGAACAUGGACUUUGGAUGAUGAUGUGGGUUCAUCGAUUGUACCAAAAAUGCCUCUGUGGUACAGGAUGCUGACGGUGC
rnacentral:lncRNA from 10 species